rnacentral:sRNA from 1 species
GUGCUAUAAAUAACAGGUGGCGCAGUAUUCUAGUCAGCUAGUCUAUUCUGAAGGCGGGGCUAAAAAUCCGCUAAAGGGCACAUCGAUGAAGUUCCUUGUGCUGGCUCGCUACGCCCAGUGGUGGGUUGGUGCUGGGAGUAAGGGGGAUGGGGCGACCGCAAUGGCAUGCGCAAUCGACCCUACCCCCGCGGAGACCCUUGUUCGUGGACAACUACGGCAAGGGAUUAAACCUGCAAAGUGGUAUAUUUAAUGCUACGUGCAGCGUAGCCUGCCUUGAGCAAGAAUGGUGGAGGAUAGAUCAGAUUCAUAUUCAUUGGGCCCAUGUGUAUGGAUUAUCGCUAUAGGAAACCAUUUUUGCAAAAGAGGCUAAGGAUAGACGAUGCUGUUGAGGAAAUCUCCUAGACUGUUCCAAAGGAGGCAGGAUAGGGAUUGCAGUGUGGACUAAGUGGUAAUCUAGCCUCAUACUUGGCGACAGUAUGAAUUUUCAGUUAAAGGGAAACCACCUGGGCGGCGACGCCCUGGCCUGAAAAUGGGAAAGCCUGCUAGACCUAAGCCGCAAACUUAACUUAUCCUGCCGCCACCUUAAAUUUAAUACAG